AUCUCUUCUUGGCCUUUUGGCUGAGAUCAAGUGUAGUAUUUGCUCUUACCAGUUUAAUAACAUCUGUCCUUUAUACACACUGCUGCAGUUCCAGUUAUGUCUCAGCAGAGCUUGCCCUCACCAUUGACAUUCUAAUAGACGCAAUGCAUUUUUAUUAGCCCUAUC
ensembl:snRNA U2 U2 spliceosomal RNA